rnacentral:rRNA from 1 species
AAUCAACGCUGGCGGCGUGCCUAACACAUGCAAGUCGAACGCGAAAAGGGGCAACCCUGAGUAGAGUGGCGUCCGGGUGAGUAACACGUGGAUAAUCUGCCUGCGGGCGGGAAUACUUUCGAAAGGGAGCUAAUACCGCAUAACACCGUAAUGGGGCAUCCUGAGACGGUCAAAGAGGGGGAUCGCAAGACCUCUCGCCUGCAGAGGAGUCCGCGGCCGAUUAGCAGUUGGCGAGGUAACGGCUCACCAAGGCGGCGAUCGGUAGCCGGCCUGAGA